ACAAAUCAAGGACCACCGGAUCGGCUGCCGUUGAGCCGGCGCCAGAGAACACCAUCUCAUGCACCAAUGCCAGCUUAAAAUUUGGUCAAACCAAAAUUCCUCCACUAUACCUCCAAUAUUUUUUCACACCCAUAGCAAACCCACUCACAGUCAACAAAUUCUCUCACUAAUCUCAUCUUCCACCUAAACAGAAUGCCACUGAAUGAGAUACAAAUGUGACCGUGAAGAAGACACUAAAACUUAAUAGAGAAAUGUUAUUUUCAGUCGGUAAAUUAUAGGCCCUUCACUUCAUGGUUAGCCCAAUAUCAUGGCUUAAACAACAACAACAAAAAAAAGAGAAAAAGAACAUAAACAAAAAUACCAAGAACAAAAUAACCAUCAAUAAAAACUAUAAAAUCGAAAUAAAUGCCUGAUGAACAAUUCUAAAGCUGUAAAACAGAAAAAAGGAUAAAACCUUUCGGUGUUUGGUAUUGAGUUAUUUGGAGACUCUGGCUUUCUCAUUCAUGGUAUUGAGUUUUUUGCUACAGUUUGUUAAUGUCAAAUCCCAUUGAAGAAAUUGUUAGAGACCCAAAUGAACAAUUAUAAAAGAGGGGGUAAAAUUUAUACUUGUAAAAGUAUAAUGGAUGUACUGUAC
rnacentral:lncRNA from 1 species